CGAAGUGAUAUAGGUCAUAUGUAUGAUAUAACUGUUAUAACUUUAAACAGCAGAUAGCGAGGAAUACUGGCUUCUCAGAAACUAUACUUGUGUAAUUCUUGGAAACAAGUAACUAUUUUACAAUCUCACUGUUACAAGGUUGCGGUUUAAACUACGUCAAGCUGAAAAGGAUGGAAAUAUACAGGAAGUCGUAGAAAUAUUAUCAUUACAAGAUAAGAUGCAAGCUUUACCUAUAGCUGCUGAAUACGGGUUUUAUAAAGUUAUGGUUUGUCUGUUAGAAGACGGAGUUGUUGAUAUACAUUAUGUUGGGUGACCUAUUUACGGCAAAUAUAAAAAUUUAAAAGACCGUAGAAUUGUGAAAUGAAUAGACCUACACAACUUCUAAAUAUAAAUAAACAAAAUACCAAUACUUCUUUCUUUAAACUAAUUUGGGAUGAUCGGGUCUACUAUGGCACACAAAAAUAAAUUAUGCCGUGACAGACAUGGUUUGCGUACGUCGGCUUUUACCAUGGCUUUGCCGUUUAAUUGCCGUGGUAAAUUUAGAGCGCAAGUUUGUGUACAGAGAAGGGCGAAGGGGUUUAAAUACGACUGGGCGGCUUUCUUCGAUUUUUUCUUUGUGCUGCAGGCGACAAAAAAUACUGACGGACGCAAGCGCCAGGCGCCACCCAGCGUGGCUACACCCCUGAAUGCUGGUGUAGAUGUCAACCAGGUGAAUGAUGAUAAAGAUACACCUAUAUUGAUAGCUGCUGAACGAGGGUUGUAUGAAGUUGUGAUAUAUCUGUUAAAACAUGGAGUAGAUGUACAUGGUGUUGAUAGCUAUAAGGACAACCUGAUAUAUAAACUUUUAGAUUACUAUGAUAAUGAUGACAAACCAGGUAGACGUGAUUUGUUAUUACAAUGUGUAGUUACAUAAGUUGAUGCUGGUGUAGAUGUCAACAAGGUGAAUGAUGAUCAACAGACACCUAUAUUUAUAGCUGCUAUUAUUAGUAUUAAAGGGUUGUAUGAA